AAACCCUAAACUUCAAAAUUUAGAAAAAGUUCAAAUAUACUAUUCCAAACUACAAUAUAGGAUAUACUUCUCAGUUUUUUUUCCAGAUAUACUAUUUAAACUUUAAAUUUAACCCUCGAACCCUAUAUCAUAAGUGCAUACAUUUUAAAUCUUAUAUCAUACACAUUAGCUCUUAAAAUACCAAUCAAGUAAAUUAAACAAUAAAUCAUAAAAUUAAAACACAGCCAUUAGUUAGGAAAUCCAAUAAUUUCUCUAAACUAAUAAUUUAACUGAAGUUAAAUUAAUGAAUUAUAUAAUGAAAACUAAAUUCAAAAGAUAAGAUGUAAAAGAAGAAUGUUAAAAAAAAAAGAUGCAAAAGAAGAAGAAGCGUGUCAAAACCAUUUUGUGUUCAAUGGACUUCCACUAAAAAAAAAAGGACAAAAACUCCUUUUAAUUCUCUCAAGGAACAGGAUCGUCUUCAACCUUCUUUCCUCUGCGUUUCUAGUGUUAACCGGCGCGUGGCGGCUCUCUUAACGCCGGCGUCGGUCCUAAUCAGUUUCAUUUCGUCUCUUUUCCAUGUUUGGUUCUUUGGGUUGUGGCUGUGUCUUAUUCUGUGAGGAGAGUUGCUUUUCCCAAAUCGAUUUCAAAGUCAGAUCUAGAAUGAGUUUUGAAGAUAAAAAUUCCGGAUCUGCAGAUUAACGGUGUGGCUUUGUCAAUAAAGCUUUUGUCUUUGUUUUUCCAAACUAGUUCCUGGUAGAUUGGUCGAUUUUGCAGUUCUCCUUUGCUGUUGGUAUGGUUUCUUUUGGUUUCUGUUGGUUCCCAUGGUUGGGAUUUGCUGUCUGUAUGUUGGGCUUUAGUUUCCGGAGAUAUCCAUGUUUCUGCCGGCUUAGGUAACUGGGGUUGUUCAGUUUGUAUCAGAUCGAUCUUUAUCUCUAAUAAUAUCCGUUUGAGUUUUUUUGGGUUUGUGAUGUCGGUGUUGUUCUGAUGGAGGAGCUCUCGUCUGAAGACGAUUGAUGCUCUCCGGUGGUAUUUGGAGAUGUUUGUGUGAAGCCUUCUUCUUGGUGGUGGUGAUCAAUGGUAGCGGAGAUGAUCUCGUAUUUGCGAUCGAUCUCUCCGAUGAUAGAAUCUCUGUGUUGAAGGCGGCUGCUGUGAAGUUGUUAUGGAGCUGGUUGCAGGGGUCUCGUUGUGGUUCGAGCCGGUGGCUCACGGGAACGACGGUGACCCUUUCGUUAGUGUAUUCUAGGGUUUUCGAUGUGGGCUUGAGGCCUUUGUUUGAUGUUUCUGUUGCCUUUUGGAUGGGCUUUGUAAUCUUGGGCUUGGCCCUUCAAUAAAUAAUAUAACUCUUGAUGGAAAAAAAAAAAAGAAGAAGCGUGUUGAACAAAAAUAAAACAAAAAGAAAGAAGAAGCGCAAGUCAUUAAAAAUAAACUAAAUUCUGAUUGGUUGAAAAAAAAAACCAUGGAUCACUCUCAAAUCAAUAUCAACCAUUGAUUUUAGAUGAUCUAAGGACCACAACUGAUUUACUUUUCUUCUGUCUCUUUCGUUUCUUUUCUCUCCUUUAAGAAACACACUUCUCUCUCAUCUUCUCCUCAAUUACAAGAACAACAACAACAAAAUCUAAACAUCUUUCCCUCUUUCUCAUUUAUCUCCUUCAACUUUGUCUCGGUCUUAAUCGGCAGAUUUUUCAAGCCAGCACACUCCAUUGCUUAUCAAUCUCUGAAAAUUUAAACUUGGAAGGAGGAAGAUGUUGACGAAUUCCAUGGCUUGGGGAAGACGACAAUAAGGACGGCGAAGCUGAUGGUUGGAGGAAGACGACGAUAACGAAGCUCGCGGCUGGAGAAAGAAGACGAGGACAAAAAUCAUGGCUGUAGGGAUUCAUAAGAAAAUGAGCUCCGAUGAAGAGCAGUGACGAAAAU